rnacentral:rRNA from 1 species
GACGAACGCUGGCGGCGUGCUUAACACAUGCAAGUGGAGCGACGAACCAGGGCUUGCCCUGGGGCAGAGCCGCGAACGGGUGAGUAACACGUGGGUUACCUGCCCCGAUGACCGGGACAACCCGAGGAAACUCGGGCUAAUACCGGAUGUGUCCGAAAGGGGAAAGGAAGCUUCGGCCUCCGCAUCGGGAUGGGCCCGCGGCCCAUUAGCUUGUUGGUGAGGUAACGGCUCACCAAGGCUGCGANGGGGUAGCUGGUCUGAGAGGACGAUCAGCCACACUGGGACUGAGACACGGCCCAGACUCCUACGGGAGGCAGCAGUGGGGAAUCUUGCGCAAUGCGCGAAAGCGUGACGCAGCAACGCCGCGUGGGGAAGAAGGC